UUACCGACAACCAUCAACAAACCGGUCCGACGUGUCGUCUGCAGUCUGCAUCUUUUUUAAAGUUGAAUAUUGCUUUUUGCCAGGCUCUGUUCUUUCUAAUUAAAAUUAACACUUAUUUUAUCAAAAAUUAAACACAGAAAGUUUGGCCUUAUUGGUGCUAAAAACGCAAGCAAAUGUUGGUGUUAUUAAAGAAGACAAUCCCAAACUCAAAAUCAAAACAGAGCAGAAAUCACCUUACUAAAGACCUAAGUUACCUUUAGAAAGACGUUUUCGUGAAAUUUUGAAAGAAAUCUAUGAUGCAGAAAUGAUUGUUUACAUACAUUUCCCCAAUUACAAAGUUUCAGCAAUUAACUUAAUGCAAUGGAUAUGGUGAUGUUGCUUUAAGCAUUGUGUUAAUGUUCAAGGAGUAUGGAGAGAGAUUUUUUGGGAGUUUUAAUAAUUCUGCUAAAGCAUCUCAACAGAACUCGAUGAUGGGUUAGCAAGAAAAAUCACAACACAUUUUUCUGGUCUAAGCAAAAACAGAAAUGUUUGUUUUAAUAACUCUGUAAAAACACCCCACCAAAAACAAGAUUAUGGUUUUCCCAUUGAAACUACAAGUUCUUUUCCGAAGUGAAACUGCAGUCUAUUACUACUGCAUCACAAGUUUCUGAAGCCAGAUUCAUCGACUGUUAUGAGUCCUGGCAGCUUCAGGAGUGACAAGAGGAUUUUUGUUAAUGGGUGCUAAAAAAUCAAAUGCUGGUGUUUCUAAAGAAGAGAAACCCAAACCCAAAUCAUGGCAGAGCAAACACCGCCUAAAACUUGACAUUUUUCGUCGUUGCGAAACUUUGAAAGAAGAAUGCUGAAAUUAUAAUAUUUAUACAUUUUCCCAGUUCUAAAGAUACCGCAACUUAUUGCAAUGCAUAUGUUGGUGUUGCCUUAAGCUAUGUAUCUAGGUUCAAGGGGUACGGAGAAAAGUUUUUGAGAGAAGUACUAAAUCUGCUGAAGCACCUCGACAAGAACUAGAUGAUUUAUCGAGUGAAAUUACAAGAAAUAUUCCUGAUGGAAGUGAAAACACAGAUGAUAGUGAUAGCCUAAAUAACUCUGUUAAAGCACCUCAGCAAGAACUAAAUGAGAAUGGCUCUUCCAAUAAAAAUUAUAACUGAUUUUACAUUCCAAACUGAAACUACAGCGGAUUUCUUCUGCAUCAUAAAUUUUUGAAGUUCCAUUAGUUCCAUAUUCAUCGACGGUUGUUACGCGUCGAGGAGUGACAAGAGGACUUAAAAGAUUUUCCAGUGUCCUUGAGAACAAAAGGAGAAAUUGGUAUGGAAAAAGGAAGAGGACAGAUGAAUGUUGUAUUUCCCGUAAUGCUACGUACAUCUAGCGCAUCUCCUCCCUUCUCGCCUACCCCUAGUCUUUCUCCUACUCCUACAGCGUCGCUUUCGUCUUGUCCACCUAAGACCGAUACUGUUUUAAAGGUGAAGAAUAAAGAUGUCAUCAAACCUCUCAAGGGUUAUUUUUACGGGGACCUGAAGGAAAGGGAUCGUUCGUUGUACUAAGCGAACCUCAGUUUAAUUGCUCUCCUACAGAAUAUUUUUGUUAAAAUUGAUUUUCUUUCUCAUUGUAAAAUGUAAACAUGUCUAACAUCUAAGUCUGUCUGCACUUUUUACAGUAGGAGAAGCGAGAAUUGUUUUGUAAAAUAUACUAGACAUUUUUAAUAAAAUAAAUAUCGUUUGUCUUUUACUAUUUA
rnacentral:lncRNA from 1 species